rnacentral:rRNA from 1 species
AUAUUAAUAAGCAAAGGAAAAGAAAUCAAUGAGAUAUCUCUAGUAAUGGCGAAUGAACCGGCAAAAGCUCAUUGCUGAAGCGUGUUAAAUUCACUUUUGACAUGCAUUGUAGCAUUUGGGGUGACUAUGUAUGGUACCUAUUCGUGUGAGUUCCUUUGAUCAGGGCUUUAACCAUAGAAGGUGCUAGUCCUAUAAUCACUAAAUAGUUU